GCUCGGUAGCUUAGUUGGUAGAGCACUCGUCUAGCAUACAAGAGUCGUGGGUACGAAUCCCACCCAGCA
rnacentral:tRNA from 1 species